GCUUCCGGCCCUGUCCCAAAUGGCGCACUUCAUGUGGACUUUCGGUCUCGUGGCCUUAAAUUGCGCGUUCUCGCUUAGUCUACGAGUCCGGAGGGUGUCCCAUCUGUCAUUUUUACGCUUUGAAGUGUGCUCAUCAGCGCCUCCUUUGCCUCCUUGAUGCGGUCUUCAGCGAAGCCCGCACUGCAGCAGGCUUUGCGCACUUUGCCAACCCAGAAGUCCUUGCGAAAGGGCAAUCAGACCAAUCAGACGACGGAAGGGAGGAGUUCACACUGAUGGGCAACUUCUCUACCUAUUUCCGGUGUGAUGCUCGAGUCUGUCCCAAAAUACGACUCCGGUGCACCCACGUGCACUCACAUCAAGGGUCCCUAAAGUCUGGACUACGUGAUGUCAUCAAAGUGUGGACUCUGAGGAGGACCACAAGUACGGAGUGUGCCAUUUGGGACAGGGCAUUUGUUGUUUAUAUUAUACGCAUGCAUUAAACAGAAAUCUCAAGAUUUUCCUUAUAUCAAUAACCUCGCAUGUGAUUGGAGGAGCCUGACAGGCUUCUCGCCUUCGUCCAAUCACGUGCGAGGUCAUGGCCACGCCUCACGGCUCACACAGCAGUACAAAACGAGCAUAAGAGACGUUUGGUUUGGUGUUUGUAACUCUCCAAGAAGAGAAGACGGGUGCACAAUCCCAAGAUUGCGGUAAGAACAAUUUUAUGUAAAAGCAUAUUUUUAAGUAGCCCAAGUUGUGUGUUUUAUAUCUUAGAGGUGUUUUUGUCUUGUAAUUUUUAGGAGGCGUCUCUGAGGCACACUGCAGGCACUAUGAACCAGAGCAAGGACUAACGUCGCCUCAUAACAAAACCGUGACCUCCUAUUUGCUUGGGGCUAUUUCAGCAAGUCCAGAUUUAACUGCUGAGAAUGAUGACAUUGUUUCUGCCUGUAAGACGUAUUAUGAGUCGGUACACCAGAGCUUCAGAUACAAACAACCUGAACUCGCAUCGCAGGCGAAAAUGCGAAAAGUUUAGCUCGGAGUCGAUCCAGAAGAAAGAGGUUGUUGGAAGCGAGGAAGUGGAAGUGCGCCACCAUAGAUCUCAUGUCUGAUGAAGACGGCAUUGUUGACGGGGUGUCUGGAUGGAUUGUGCGGCCACCGCCCUCUUGCAGCCUGGAACUCUCCGAGCGCUGUGCCACGCUGAAAUCCAGAUUAGAGGCGAUA